AACCUGUAGAUGUUGAAUAUAUAUAUAUAUAUAUAUAGUACAAUAUUGUCAUGGACCAAUAAAUAUACGUAUAUACGAUAAUAUUUAAUCUUCAACAUCUACACGUUCUAAUUACAGAAUUAAAUGGAAAAUGCCCAAAAGUAGAGUGUAAACAUUUGGUUUUUCCGUUAACACUUUGCUGUUUUCAAACCAAUUAAAGAAAGAGAAACCUCAAAUCAGUACUGUGUACCCCUUAGGAAUACUAUAGACAAGUAACACAAUAGUUUGGUUCCCCCUCUAGCUGCCCUCUGGGCGGGCGGACACACACACCCAGACACAGACACAAAUACACACACACACACCCUUCUAGAAUGCAGUUUCAGUUUAGGAACACACACACACACACACACACACACACACACACACACACACACACACACACACACACACACCCUUCUAGAAUGCAGUUUCAGUUUAGGAUGUGCUCCACAAUGUGAACCAGUCGGCGAUGGCAGUCGUUGUGGUUGCUGUUUUGGGGGAACAUUAACCAGCUCAACCCACUGCUUCUCCUCACGCUGUCCUGUGUCUCUGGCUGUCUUUCCCUCUGUCCCUCCACCCUCCCGGUCACCACAGUGCUGAAGACCGUGCCCUUCACCGCGCGCACCGCCAAGCGCGGCUCGCGCUUCUUCUGCGACCCCGCCCUCAGUGACGAGUACCAUUACUAAGCUUGUAGAACGCUCGCUCCCGCUCCAAGGUUGCUGGAACACACCGCUCGUUCUCUCUCUCGUUCUCCCUCUCCGUGUGUGUGCGUUUGUUUGUUUGCCUUUGCCCCUUAACACACUCUUUCUUUCACUGUCCGUCGCCGGUAACCUGUGCAUGUGUUCCGAGCCGACCCGUCUCGGGAAUACUACCGGGGAUAGAUGGUGUUAUACUGUGUGCUUUUGAAAGUGUUUGUGUGGGUUUGAGUGUGUUUGUGUGUGUUUGCAUGUGUGUGGGUCUUUCUCCCCUUUCAGCAUGACAUUGUGGUGGGAUAACCGUCUUGAGCUCCUAAUGCAUGUGAAAAUACGUGUGAAAAUAUAUACGAAGAUAUAUUUAUCAUCGUAGCGAACCGCAGCAGACCCAAAUGUCACACGGGACGACCUCGAGGCGGGGCCUCGAGUUCGUCCUUAUCCGGACUGACAUGAGAUGACUGUUUUUAAGUCGUCAAAAUAUACGAUGUUUGUCGCCCCCUGCUGACCAUAAACGGAAUAACACGUCUCUAGAUAUAUAAAUAUUAUAACAAUAUUUAGUGACUUUAUAGCAUCUCUCCAUUCUGACAGAAGAUAAUGAAUUCUAACCUCUGUCACCUUUUAACCAAUAACAUGCCUCUAAGACUAAUGCGGUGAUUUCUGCAGAGCUAUCGCCUCUGGUAUUAUAUAUUAUAAAUAUAAUAUGAUGCUUUUCAACUCCUGUUUCUAUGAACACUGUUUGUUUACGAUGACAUCGCUGUUGCUGUUCUGCUAAUGUCUCGCAUGCAAAUCCCCCUUCCGCCGUUGUUACCCACAAUGCAUCCCUGCUGCCCUUCGUACCUCUUACCUUGUGCUUUGCUCGGCCAUCUGCUGAUAGGUCACCUUCCUGUCACAUGACUUUCAUUGCCUUGGCAGGCGUGACAAGGUCCUAAUCUCUAACAUGACGCAUGAAGUGUUGUGCCGCAGCAGACGAUGAAGGGGGUGUUUUGAAAGUCCCUGAUUGUUUUGUGUUCACUGCUUGCCGACUAACAAAAGCCAACUGCCGCCAGUGGAAAAGCCUCACCUAGUUGCCAUUUUUGCUUUCUAUUGGGUGCUCAUUGGGUGGUUGUAUGCAUGCCUUGGUGGAGGUGUCGUCGCCUUGUUAUCUAAACACUCAUAACCACUCUGUGUUCACCCUGUGUUUUAAAAUGGGGUUUUGGUUUGUUCUGUCGUGCUGGUCCGCCUCUCUGCAAAGCAGUCUUGAGUCUUUAAAAACACAGGAAACUAAAACAAACAGUAAAAGCUUCUGCCUCUUCGGUUCGCCGUCCUCUGUGCCAGUUAACAGGCUCAAGCUCGCCAUGUCUAUUAAGCCCCGCCCCUUUGUGAUUUGGUGUAAGUUCAUUGGCCAGCGGCCUACUCAAUCUCCCCCCCAUGCCCUCUGCCCUCCCUCGCUCGCUUUGCCAGACCGCAAUGCUUCUGCCCGCCCCAGUGCGGGAUGCUACCUAGCAGGACCCUGUCCCCCCAUCGCCAUAGCUUUACCGUCUUUGUUUUAUUCAUUUUAACCUCCAUUUUGUCUUCUUCUCAUCCAGCCCUAAAGAAGAAUAAUAUUACUAUAUUCCCCACUGUCUACUCGAGGAUCUGAGGAACCAGCCAUACAGGCGAGCCGAUGGUGUGCGUCGCAGUGGCCGCCGGCGUUUCGAUGACCAGAGCCUGCGGCCAAUCAACAGCGGGGAGGUGGUCAUGUGACGAGGGACCGCAGGAAGAUGUGAUGUGGAUGGGUGAAGGAACGUGCGAUGGUUUUAGAGAGAGAGAGAGAGAGAGAGAGAGAAAGAGAGAGAGCGGAUGGAUGUGAGACGGAAGAUGCCGGGAGGAGGAUGCUGCUGAGUUUCCUAGCAACCAACAGAGAUAAAUAUGUAAAUAUAUACAUGAAAGAAAACGAAAAGACAAUGAAUCUCUGGCGUAGGAGUAGCCUCUGGAAUAAGAAGGACUGGGGUGUGUGUGGGGGGGGGGGGUUAGACCGAUGGAGUGGGAGAGUGGUCUGCAAUGUUAAAAAGAAAAGAAAAGUAAUUUGCAAAGUGCCUGAACUUUUCAUGUGAUGUCAUAACGUUGUUAGUUUUCGAUUUGUUUUUCGUCCAAUUGUCGAUAGUCAUUACAAUCCAUGAAACACCGCCAGGCUUUAAAUCCUUAAGUCAUCUGGGAUGCGAUGAACCAACUGGAUGAUACGGUGAUACGUAGCAGGGCAGUGGAUACUGGGAAGAAGAAUUGGAACUUGCACAGAAUGUAUGGAACGCAUUCCGUGUGACAGUUCCGGAACCCUCCGGCACGAGGAUCCAAGGCCGCAUUACUUAAGCACAUUCCAAGACUCCAGGGAUUCCUACUAUGACCCAACGUGCUUGAAAAGCAUUUUUUCAAAACAAAAUGGCUUUUCAAUCUUUUUUUCUCCAAAAGGGUUCCUUGUCAAAGUAUUAGCUGUUGAGAUUUAAGCGAUGAUUCGAAAAAUCGUAGAAAAGGUCUGGUAGGACCGUGCCACGGUGACUUUGAAUUAUUUCAAGAGGGAUAUGAGUUGUUGGAGGAUGGGGCCAGGUUAAUGUGAACUUUAUAUUGCACAUCAUUAGGACGACUCAAAGCUUAUUCUUUGGUGAGGAGAGAACGAGGCUGUCCCAUCGCAGUGAUGCGAUGUUAGUGUGUCCUCCAUUUUGUUUGAAUACAGUUGUGUUGUGGGUCAAUACAUGAAUAUACCACCAGAGUGUUCACUAUGAGCAGAGUGUACCCAGGACACUGAAGCCCUUGUGAUGAAUACACGAUGGAAAGGUGGAUCGAAAUACUUUAUUUUUGUUUGUUCGAAAUUGUUCAAAGGGGAUUUGGAAUCAGUGCAGCCAUCUUCAUAUCCUUAUUGUAUUUUUUAUUGUAUAGUAUUUAACCACUAAAAAGGUUUCAUUCUAGCUUUCAAUGUUUGUUUUUGUUUCAUGUGACCUUUCCAUUUGGCAGAAUGUCAGUUAAUGACGGCUCCUCUACGUCGACAUGGCAAAAAAAAACAAAAAAACAGUUUUGUAAAUGUACAGAUAUUUUGCUACAAACGUAAAUUUUGUUGUUCCCUUUUUUUAAUUCCUAAUUCAUAUGACCCGUGAGGUUCAUAUUGUAAAUAUUGUUUAAACAAAAGUUUACAAUGCUCUGUCUUCUACAAUUUGAAUGUUAUUAACUUAUAGUUGUUUUCAUUUCUUAUAUUUAAUUAAACCAAAACAAUAGCCUAACAAAUCAUUAUUGUAGAGCGCUAUGAAGGCUUCUCAUACUGGAUCACUUCAUUAAAUACCGAGUGGAUCAGAAAACUACACUAAGCCAGCGACGCACACAGCACGGGAUGCAAGGGUUUCAUACACUGUGUUUGAGUGUGUGAAUAGCGUUAAAAUUUGAAUCUAAUUUGGACCUCAAUGUUGACAUUUGUUUAUUUCUUUAAACAAGUUACUGCCAAUCUAGAACAUAAUAGUUUGAUAGCAAUGGAACAUUGACAUGAAAUCGAUUUAGCCUUUCUUAUUUGAUGUACCAGGUUCGAAUAAGGCUGUUUUCCAGUAGCUGGCUUGUGUAACGUUGUGAUCCAUUCUAUUCUCUGGACCAAAAAUAACCCAUUAAAGCAUGUUGUGCAUUACCAUGUUCUCUGAAGAACGUCCUGCUCAUCUCUUCUCCUGGACUGGAUAAUACUGGCAUGUCUCUUUUUAAAUCAGAAUUGUAUUUUAGGCAUUGUGUGCUGACUAUAAAAUACUUAAAAUAACUUUUUUUUUUACGUUAGGUGGGAUUCUUAAUGAAUACGAUCAAUUAAACUAUUUACAUUGAA